CCACGAGGACACGAUGACCACGAGGACACGACGACCACGAGGACACGAUGACCACGAGGACACGAUGACCACGAGGACACGACGACCACGAGGACACGAUGAAUACAUUUAUUCAUGAUCAUUCGGUAGCCACGGUUACGGUUGUGCAAAUCGCCCGUGUCACUGAGAGAGCAUCAUCUCGUCCUUUGAUCGGCCGCGGGAGUGAAAAGUAGAUUAAUAAUUUAAGGUUUCGAGGUUUAAUUCGACACAUCAGCAGGAAAAGUGUGUGUGUCGUGAUUUGUGGAAAUUGCAUUAAGUCUUGGAGAGCAAAGAUUAGAGAUAAGAAAUAGUAAAUACUGUUUUCACAGAAUGGAUUAUGGCACUUAGUCUUUUCAAAACGAUAUGACCUCGUCUUACCGCCGCCCUUGGUUUAAUCAUACGCUUUCAGUUUCAAAAGUAUUUUUCAACUGGUGGAAACGUGGAGCAGGGACCAACACACGAGGUGAACCUGACACCGACUGUGAGACCAAUCACCACCAACCUCUGGAUUCUGAAACCAAAACCGGGGCCUGUGGUGUUUCCACAAGUCUCCGCUUUAGGAGCUCGAAAGAUCCAGAGCAGCCGAGGAAGAGGAGGAGAGAGAGAGAGAGGAAGAGGAAGAGGAUGAGGAGAAACUUGAGGAAAAUGAAUUCUCUCCGUCCCGACGAGCCAGACGAGAACCUAACGGCUCCGUGACCUUCGGGAGUCGUUGCCUUCUUGGCACCGGCGCCUAACGAGCGCUCGGAGCGUCUGUCGACAUGCGGCGGGAAACUGCCAGGAAGAGCUGGAGCGGCUCCAGGAGGAGACACCCCGCCAAAAUAAAGGCCUUGACCGGAGAGGUUGGUUUCA